rnacentral:rRNA from 1 species
GACGGACGCUGGCGGCGUGCUUAACACAUGCAAGUCGAACGGAAAGGCCCUGCUUUUGUGGGGUGCUCGAGUGGCGAACGGGUGAGUAACACGUGAGUAACCUGCCCUUGACUUUGAGAUAACUUCAGGAAACUGGGGCUAAUACCGGAUAGGAGCUCCUGCUGCAUGGUGGGGGUUGGAAAGUUUCGGCGGUUGGGGAUGGACUCGCGGCUUAUCAGCUUGUUGGUGGGGUAGUGGCUUACCAAGGCUUUGACGGGUAGCCGGCCUGAGAGGGUGACCGGCCGCAUUGGGACUGAGAUACGGCCCAGACUCCUACGGGAGGCAGCAGUGGGGAAUAUUGCACAAUGGGCGGAAGCCUGAUGCAGCAACGCCGCGUGCGGGAUGACGGCCUUCGGGUUGUAAACCGCUUUCGCCUGUGACGAAGCGUGAGUGACGGUAAUGGGUAAAGAAGCACCGGCUAACUACGUG